rnacentral:rRNA from 1 species
UACGGAGGGUGCAAGCGUUAUCCGGAUUCACUGGGUUUAAAGGGCGCGUAGGUGGGCAAGUAAGUCAGGGGUGAAAUCUCCGGGCUUAACCCGGAAACUGCCAUUGAUACUAUUUGUCUUGAAUACUGUGGAGGUCAGCGGAAUAUGUCAUGUAGCGGUGAAAUGCUUAGAUAUCACAUAGAACACCAAUUGCGAAGGCAGCUGGCUACACAAAUAUUGACACUGAGGCACGAAAGCGUGGGGAUCAAACAGG